GGCGGCACCGGCAGAGAUGGUAACGGGCGAAGGAGGCAAUGAAUCAACGAAGAAAAGUGUAAGGAUAUAUGUUGGUGGUUUAGGCGAAAGUGUGACGGCUGAGGAUUUGAAGAAGACAUUCUCAACACCACAACUCGGAAAAGUGGAAUCUAUGGACAUCGUUCGAACCAAAGGCCGCAGCUUUGCUUACUUGGAUUUACUUCCUUCUUCCGACAAAUCCCUACCCAAACUUUUCAGCACGUAUAAUGGAUGCAUGUGGAAAGGUGGGAGGCUUAGAAUAGAGAAGGCAAAGGAACACUUUUUUCUUCAUAUGAAACGUGAGUGGGAAGAAGAUGCUACACUUGCCACUACUUCGACCCAUCUUCCUGUUAGUGAAGCUGAAAGGAUGGACUCCCUGAAAAGUCAGAAGAAAGAUUCCAAAUUGGAUGAAGCGCAAAUUCGGAUUUACUUCCCAAAAUUAGGAAAGAUUAAACCAGUGUCUCUUAGAGGAACUGGCAAGCAUAAAUACAGUUU
rnacentral:misc_RNA from 1 species